GACAGAGGUGGCAAGCGUUGUCCGGAAUUACUGGGCGUAAAGAGCGCGUAGGUGGCUAGAUAAGUCCGGUGUGAAAUCCUUCGGCUUAACCGGGGAAUGGCAUCGGGGACUGUUUAGCUAGAGGACGGGAGAGGAGAGCGGAAUUCCCGGUGUAGCGGUGAAAUGCGUAGAGAUCGGGAGGAAGGCCGGUGGCGAAGGCGGCUCUCUGGAACGUCCCUGACGCUGAGGCGCGAAAGCGUGGGGAGCAAACAGG
rnacentral:rRNA from 1 species